UGGUCUAUGGUGUAAUUGGCAGCACGACUGGUUCUGGUCCAGUUAGUCUAGGUUCGAGUCCUAGUAGACCAGC
rnacentral:tRNA from 1 species